UAUGGCACCAUUUAUGACUCCAUAUUUAUUCAGCAGCUCAGGUUUGAAAAUUCUGGUAAAUCAUGCAACACAACUGACCGUCAUGAGCUGUGUGCGGCAGGCAAGUAUGGAGGAACCAAAAAGCAGACUCAAAGACAAAAUAAACUCAAAACUCAGCUUUAUUGCUGGGAAAGGGAAAAAUACAAAACUACACAGGGAAAUACUGGAAUCUAAACUCAUGAGCAGAACACAGAGCCAGGUAUGAGGGAGAACGCGACGCUGAGCAGAGGAAGGUGAGGGUCAACCUGACAUUGUACGAUACAUGGGAGAGACACCAAUUCAGGGCUGGUCCUACCUAAAUUCAGGGCGGAUGGGGGACACAAAGCUAAUCCAUUUAUUCCAUAUUUUGUAGAAUUUGUCUUUUCGAAUUUUUAAAAAGAAUGUCAGUUUUUUUUCAUUUUAAAUAUUUCGAAAACCACAUUAAACCAAUCCUCAAGUGUUGGCGGAGUUGGAUUUAACCACUUUCUGGUUAUUGAUUUUUUUUGUGUCCCCUCCCCGGACCGAGCCAGCAACCAAACCCAAGUACAAAUUUACAAAAUUGAUGUCAAAUUUUAUCUUAAAAACCUCACACAGAGUUUUAUGAAUUCCCAGCCAGUAAUUUUUUAAGUUAGGGCAGUCCCAAAAGAUGUGGUAAUGAUGUGCCUCUUCUGAUCCACAUCUUCUCCAGCAUUGCGCUGUCCCAUUUUUAUAUUUAAUUUGAGGGGUUUUGAAAAAUCUAAUAAUGUUCUUCUAACAGUGGUCUCUCCAAGAUAAAGAACUUGUUGAGUACCAAUGAAAAUUACAAAUCCUCUCCCAGUUCUCGUUUGUUGUACCCAUCCCUGAUUCCAAUUCCCAUUUAAUCUUAACAUUUUGAGUAGUAUCCUUCCUUGCUUGAAGGAGCACAUCAUAUAGUUUGGAGAUUGCCUUUCUCAGAGAACCAACAUAUGCUAAUUUAACUAUCUUAAAAAUUUCUGACUCAACCGUAUUUGGGUUUGGGAUAUUGCAAUGUUUGUUAAAAUAAUCCCUCAUUUGAAGAAACCUGAAGAAAUCUUAAGCCAUUUCUUAUUUGUAAAGACUGGAAACUCUGUAGUGUCCCUUCAUGUGUGAAGGAAUGGAAUGUUGACAAGGAACUAUCAAAGUAAAACAGGAAACAUGAGACACACACUGAGACAAGGACUUGACAAAGGGACGGGGAAAGAACAGACAUGAAAACAUAACACAGUCCUCGAGACACAAGGAACACAGAGGAGGCACAGUAACCAAACCUAAAGAUAACUUGGGGAGCAAGAAAUACAAAGGACUACACCAUUAGAAAGACUUCAUCAAAGAAUACUGAUAAUCCAAACAUAAACACUGGAUCAUCAGACCCAGAAGACGCCGUCACAUCACCUGAGUUUCAACUUCUCUCCGCUGGCUUUACGUACAUCUUAGAAUUGAUGUGGAGAUUUGACAGAAGCCCAAAGCUGCAGAGCAGAGAUGUUGACCUCUUAUAUGCCAGUUUGAAGCUCUGGAUCCUCAGGUGGAUCCUUCUGGCUUUUCCAAAGAUCAGGCAUAAAUCCAAAGGUGACUGUUUUGCCAUCACAUCCUCUCGACUGGAAGUGAGACACCCUUUAAUACAGUAUACUGACUCCUGGGUCACAGGGAAGAGGACAAAUAAGCUGAGGAGGCAUAAAUCAGAGAAACGAGAAAAGCAUUUCAUGUCCUUAAUUUCUUGGUGUGUGUACUCUUGACUUGUUUUUAUUUUAAUACCUAUUCUCUGUUUUUUGGUCUUUCAGUCAUUUAGUCUGCACUUUCCUCAUGUUUCCCAGUGCAUAUGUUUUAGCAUCGUUUCUCUUUCACUCAACCUAUAUUUCCUACAUUUUUCCUUCCUCUUUGGAAGCUACCCACCUUUCCUGCUGAUUUGUUUUCUUGCCAUUGUCACCACUCUCUUCACUUAUUUAUUUUCAUUUGUUUUCUCCCAUUGCAGAACUUGCAAUGGUCAAAUAGGGAUCAUGUUUUACUGUGUGAAUAAAGACACAAUUUGGCCCCAUGUUUCAAUAAUGAUUUUCUCAUGUUUUGAUUGA